UUUGAGUUAAUUUUUGAAAACUGAAAAUGUUAAAUUACAAUGGUGUCUGUAGUUAAUAACAUUUCAUCUGAUUAAUCAAAAGUCUUAAUUAACAAAGCAAUAGCCCUUAAACUCAAAAACCUUAAACCCUUAAAAGUCUAACCGAAAGCAACAGACUUUCUGUCAAAUCCUUCAAUCUCUGGUUCAUUCCCAGGAUGGCUAAGCAACAAUAUUUCAAAACAUUGAUGACAAACUCAUGCUUUCUUUUCCCACCAAAAUCUUCAAAAUAAUCAACAUCUUUCGCUUUACACAAAAUAAAUGAGAAAAGGUUUUCAAAUCAAAAAAAUUUUAUUCAAUCAACUCUUAGAAAGUGGUUAAUGAAAGUUGCACAAAUAGUUGAUCUUAUACAAAAAAGCAUAGAAAGUAUUGUUCCAAAAGACUGAGGUAAGUAAAACUGAAAAGAUCUUGGGAAUAAUUCAAACAAACCUUACUAUUUCAGUUGAAUUUUAUUUAUGCAUAAAAUUUUCCAAGAGUAUAAUCCAUAGAUUAACCAUGUUUCCACCAGACUUUUUUGAAUCCAAAUCCUCCAUGUUUGAACUUUCCUCCAUGAAAAAAGGCCGGUUUGGGUCUAACAGGAAAGUGGACAAAAUGGACAGGCUUUUUGUAAAAAGGUUUCUUGACGAUGUAUUUAUGUUUAUAGAAGCCUCCUUCAAUGGUCACAAUAAGACACAAGAGAAAAGUGAAAGGUUAAAUGGUGACUUACCAGCAAGUUCAUUUUGGAUUAAUUGCGAUACCAGAUGGUAACAAAACUCACAGCAAGCACAAUAAUAGCCAAAUCAGCUCAACUCAACGAUUGACUUUUGUUUUUUGAAUGAACUUUUUGGAUGGAUGGACAGACCUUUUUAUACAUCUUUUUGGCAAACCAUUUUCACGUUAGUCCUUUUUUCUUGGCUCAAUGGUCAAUUAUACUGCAGCACAUCUUCAUCGCCAUUAUCAUCAUUAUCUCAAUUGAUUGGUGUGAAUGUUGAAAUAGAUGUUACACCAACAAGUCAAUUCAUCGAAAUUUUCCCAAGAAAAUUGGUUCCAUUUGAUUAAAUUGUACUUCUAUCACUAACCCAUUAUGCUGGUCAGUGUAUUGCUAGAGACAGUCAAGGUCUAAAAUCUUGAGAUAUUAUGAGUUAAUGUAAAUCAAACACUUGUACAAUAAAGAAAAACUUCUCAGAAUUUAUUAAA